GCUGGGUGUAGUGGCACACGCCUGUAAUCCUAGCAGCUUGGAAGGCUGAGACAGGAGAAUGGGGAGUUCAAAGCCAGUCUCAGCAAAAGUGAGGCAUUAAGCAACUCAGUGAAACCCUGUCUCUA
rnacentral:sRNA from 1 species